UACGUAGGGUGCAAGCGUUAAUCGGAAUUACUGGGCGUAAAGCGUGCGCAGGCGGUUUUGUAAGUUUGUCGUGAAAUCCCCGGGCUCAACCUGGGAAUGGCGAUGAAGACUGCAAGGCUAGAAUCUGGCAGAGGGGGGUAGAAUUCCACGUGUAGCAGUGAAAUGCGUAGAUAUUGUGAGGAACACUAGUGGCGAAGGCGAAUCUCUGGACAGUUCCUGACGGCUGAGGCACGAAGGCCAGGGGAGCAAACGGG
rnacentral:rRNA from 1 species